rnacentral:rRNA from 1 species
UACGAAGGGGGCUAGCGUUGCUCGGAAUCACUGGGCGUAAAGGGUGCGUAGGCGGGUCUUUAAGUCAGGGGUGAAAUCCUGGAGCUCAACUCCAGAACUGCCUUUGAUACUGAGGAUCUUGAGUUCGGGAGAGGUGAGUGGAACUGCGAGUGUAGAGGUGAAAUUCGUAGAUAUUCGCAAGAACACCAGUGGCGAAGGCGGACUCACUGGCC